ACCGAGGUGGUGGAAUAGGUAGACACGCUACCUUGAGGUGGUAGUGCUCCAUUAGGCUUACGGGUUCAAGUCCCGUCCUCGGUAUCA
rnacentral:tRNA from 1 species